rnacentral:misc_RNA from 1 species
CUACAAAAGAGGGCAAAGGAGGCACGGCGUGGGAAAGGUACUGGCGCCGCCGCCGCAACAGCUGCAGCAGAAGCCCGAACACUUCCAUACAUGCCUCCCCCAAAAAACUUGUGUAACUACUUGUACCUGCCAACUUCCAACGGCGAAAAAACAAACAAAGCAGGGAGGUAGCUGGCGGUAUCGCCCGCGCGAGGACACUGCAGAGCAUAUGGUUUGUGCGCAGCAGCAGCAGCCACCGACGGAAAAAGCGGAAGCAAGAAAAGAUAUCUACAUUUUCCAUAGAUGCCGUAGCCUUGUAGUGCCAGUGCAUCGCAUACAAGGGACACGCGCACCGACUCAUAGAGCAAACACAUUCUUGCCAUCUUCAUCACCUCUGCGCAUAUCAGCGCCUACCGCGAAAGGUGACGCUUUACUCACAGUUUUUCUCUCCCAUGCAUCGCGUAUCAGCUCAUCGGCUAAUCCUCUGCAUAGCAAGCAAUUGACAGCGGAAACGAAAAGUAAAGUCGAGCAGCUGCAUCUCCGUUUGCUAUGCUGUUGCGCAGCCUUCCGCUUUACGCGGUCAGGGUCGUUUCGGCCUCGCUCAUCGAGUCGAUGCCAUCUCCUGGAAUGGGCUGUCCCACCACGGGCAGUCAUGCGACUCUCACCUUUCACCUCCACCGCCUCCACAACAGCGAGAGCUUCGGCGUUGACUGCGACUUCCAGUCGGUUGGUGGCUGUGAUGAGCAGUGCUUCGUUCGUGGCAUGAGCGCCGAUCUCGUGGCGUCGUCGGCUGCUCUAAAGAGCGUGCUCGGCGACGGGAAGGCGGCACGCACGAGCUCUGUUCGGGUGACGAGCAUCAACGGCAUCGCUAGGUUGACGAAGGCGGCGGUGCGGGAGCUGUUCGACAGCGGCCGUGACGUGGUCGUGCAGUGCGCCGUGUCUGCCGUUGCCGGCAGCCCGUCUGAUCCUAGGCAGUUUGACACUGGUUUGGAAAGAGAAGAGGAUGGAGCCGAGGCAACGCGCACACCCAAGAAACGUGGGCGAAAGCCAAAGGCGCCAGUGACGGGUGCUCUCGGUUCUGACGACACCGAGAUAGUCGGGACGUCAUCCAAGAAUGCCGUGAAGAGGCCAGGGCGGCGCGCUCGUGGUCUAUCGCUGAAGAAACCCAAAGUGAGCAAAAAGCGGCUACGCUACUCCGGUGCUCGCUCGGCAGUGAGGCAGAUGACCAGCAAAGAGACGGACCUGCCUGCUGACGAUAUUGACGCAGCCGCACUGGAGACGUUGCACAAGGUUGCGCCGGUAAAGCCUGUGCGGACACGCGGUCGGCGAUCAACGAAACGCGAAGCACUGCUUGACGCGAAAUGGCGGAGCACGGCAGCCGGGGAGACCUCAGACGAUGUUUGGUUUGCGUAUGCGGAGGCAACGCCAGCGGAGGGCGGAGAGGAUGACGAGGCUCGCCCCGAGGAUGCUGCGGUGCCGACUCGGAGACGGCGAGGACGUCCAGCCAAAAUGGCCGCCGCCGACGCGCCCACGGAGGCUGAGACAGUGGCGGCAGCGAAGCGCGGGCGGCGUCGGCCGGCUAGCCGCACCUUUGAACCAGAGAAGCAGAAGAAAACCUCCGGGCGGCGUGGACGACCCCGCAAGAUGGACAAGGCCGUAGAAAUCCUGGGCACAACACAGGCGGCGGAGGUCAGCUCAAAGGAGAAACCCGCAGAACAAUCCGAGGCUGCAGAUGCUGAGCUGGAGUUUUGAUAUACAGAGUGAGAUCGUCGCUGAAUGGCAUGCCCUCGUCAUCUGCGCGUUGGCAUCUCUUUCUCUUUGUGUGUUGGAAAAGGGCAUCCAUGCCGCGGCGGGAUCAUCAUCUUCACAGACGUGUGCAGGGCUCAGCGCGACACACAUGCGGGCGUCGCAAGCGAAUAAGCUCUUUUUUGUUUGUUUGUCCUGCGUGCGAGUGGCAGGGGCGGGGCGUCUCGUAUCGGCACCACCAUUCGUCAGUUGCUCUUCUACGCGAAAAGCUGUUCACGAAGGCGCGUGCGCUCCUCCUCGGACCUCGGCCUGCACCGCAUGCGCAGGGACGCAACUGCAUCGAUCAGCUCUUUGUUUUCUUCGUAUUGCUUCACCGUGUCGCUUCACUUCUUCGGGGAUCAUCUUUCUAGUCAACAAUAUUGUUCGAGUGUUUUGUAUUGCCUGUCGCGCCCGCGUUGCGCGGAGAAGCUUUUCUGCACC